rnacentral:tRNA from 1 species
GCGCCUGUGGCUCAAAGGAAUAGGGUGCUGGCCUCAUAUGCCAGAGGUGGCGGGUUCAAACCCAGCCCCGGCCA